rnacentral:rRNA from 1 species
AACGAACGCUGGCGGCAUGCCUAACACAUGCAAGUCGAACGAGACCUUCGGGUCUAGUGGCGCACGGGUGCGUAACGCGUGGGAACCUGCCCUUAGGUUCGGAAUAACUCCCCGAAAGGGGUGCUAAUACCGGAUAAUGUCUUCGGACCAAAGAUUUAUCGCCUUUGGAUGGGCCCGCGUUGGAUUAGCUAGUUGGUAGGGUAAAAGCCUACCAAGGCGACGAUCCAUAGCUGGUCUGAGAGGAGGAUCAGCCACACUGGGACUGAGACACGGCCCAGACUCCUACGGGAGGCAGCAGUGGGGAAUAUUGGACAAUGGGCGAAAGCCUGAUCCAGCAAUGCCGCGUGAGUGAUGAAGGCCUUAGGGUUGUAAAGCUCUUUUACCCGGGAUGAUAAUGACAGUACCGGGAGAAUAAGCUCCGGCUAACUCCGCG